AAAAUGGAUGAAGAUUUACAUUUUUUUAGAUGUUUCAGGGAGAUUUCAAUGACGGGUUUCACCCUGUUUUACUCCACAGACUUGACAAGUGGGGCAGACCUCCCUCUACAGCCCAACUGUCAGGACGCCAGGAAUAUUAACUGAAAUUUACUACAAACCCUUAUGUGGCAGUGAUGGCCAUACCCACAGCAACAUCUGCGCAUACUGUAUUGUAAAACGAAGUGCCACCAGUCCUCUCAAUAUUGUCAAAUAUGAACCCUGUUGAAUCCACAGAGGAACACCAGGAGGUUUGCUGAUCUUCACUCCGCUUUGCACUUCACAAGCCCCCUUUGACCCACUGCUGACCCCUGCAGCCUUUUAAAUCUGAAAUAAACGUUUACUUCUGGCAUGAAAUCUGA